rnacentral:rRNA from 1 species
GAUGAACGCUGGCGGCGUGCUUAACACAUGCAAGUCGAACGAAGCGAUAUAUUGGAAGUUUUCGGAUGGAAGAUAUAAAGCUUAGUGGCGGACGGGUGAGUAACGCGUGGGUAACCUGCCUUAUAUAGGGGGAUAACAGUGAGAAAUCAUUGCUAAUACCGCAUAAGACCCCAGUAUCGCAUGAUACAGAGGUAAAAGAUUUAUCGAUAUAAGAUGGACCCGCGUUUGAUUAGAUAGUUGGUGAGGUAACGGCUCACCAAGUCGACGAUCAAUAGCCGACCUGAGAGGGUGACCGGCCACAUUGGGACUGAGACACGGCCCAAACUCCUACGGGAGGCAGCAGUGGGGAAUAUUGGACAAUGGGGGAAACCCUGAUCCAGCGACGCCGCGUGAGUGAAGAAGUAUUUCGGUAUGUAAAGCUCUAUCAGCAGGGAAGAAAAAUGACGGUACCUGACUAAGAAGCCCCGGCUAACUACGUGCCAGCAGCCGCGGUAAUACGUAGGGGGCAAGCGUUAUCCGGGAUUUACUGGGUGUAAAGGGAGCGUAGACGGUUAAGUAAGUCUGAAGUGAAAGCCCGGGGCUCAACCCUGGGACUGCUUUGGAAACUACAUAACUAGAGUGUCGGAGAGGUAAGUGGAAUUCCCAGUGUAGCGGUGAAAUGCGUAGAUAUUGGGAGGAACAUCAGCGGCGAAGGCGGCUUACUGGACGAUAACUGACGUUAAGGCUCGAAGGCGUGGGUAGCAAACAGGAUUAGAUACCCUGGUAGUCCACGCAGUAAACGAUGAAUACUAGGUGUCGGGGAGGUCAACUUCUCGGUGCCGCCGCAAACGCAUUAAGUAUUCCACCUGGGGAGUACGUUCGCAAGAAUGAAACUCAAAGGAAUUGACGGGGACCCGCACAAGCGGUGGAGCAUGGUGGUUUAAUUCGAAGCAACGCGAAGAACCUUACCAAAUCUUGACAUACCGAUGAUAUACUUUUAAUUUAGUAGUUCCCUCGGGACAUUGGAUACAGGUGGUGCAUGGUUGUCGUCAGCUCGUGUCGUGAGAUGUUGGGUUAAGUCCCGCAACGAGCGCAACCCUUGUCCUUAGUAGCCAGCAGGUAGAGCUGGGCACUCUGGGGAGACUGCCAGGGAUAACCUGGAGGAAGGUGGGGACGACGUCAAAUCAUCAUGCCCCUUAUGAUUUGGGCUACACACGUGCUACAAUGGCGUAAACAAAGAGAAGCGAAGCUGUGAAGCCAAGCAAAUCUCAAAAAUAACGUCUCAGUUCGGAUUGUAGUCUGCAACUCGACUACAUGAAGCUGGAAUCGCUAGUAAUCGCAGAUCAGAAUGCUGCGGUGAAUACGUUCCCGGGUCU